UGCCAGCCGCCGCGGUAAAACGUAGGACGCAAGCGUUAUCCGGAAUUACUGGGCGUAAAGCGCGCGCAGGCGGGUUAUCAAGUCAUGUGUGAAAGCUCCCGGCUAAACUGGGAGAGGUCAGAUGAUACUGAUAGCCUGGAGUGCAUCAGAGGUAAGUGGAAUUCCGCGUGUAGUGGUGAAAUGCGUAGAUAUGCGGAGGAACACCAGUGGCGAAGGCGGCUUACUGGGAUGCAACUGACGCUGAGGCGCGAAAGCAUGGGUAGCGAACGGGAUUAGAUA
rnacentral:rRNA from 1 species